rfam:Oryza rufipogon genomic scaffold, chr02
UAUAAGGGAUUCUGAGAUUUUACUUGCAACGUUUGACCACUCGUCUUAUUCAAAUUUUUUUGAAAUUAUUAUUUAUUUUAUUUGUGACUUACUUUAUUAUGUAUAGUACUUUAAGCACAACUUUUCAUUUUUUAUAUUUAAUUUUUUUUAAUAAGACGAGUGGUCAAACGUUGCAAGCAAAAACUCAAAAUCAUGCAUAUA